rnacentral:rRNA from 1 species
CGUGCCAGCAGCCGCGGUAAUACGUAGGUGGCAAGCGUUGUCCGGAAUUAUUGGGCGUAAAGCGCGCGCAGGCGGUCCUUUAAGUCUGAUGUGAAAGCCCACGGCUCAACCGUGGAGGGUCAUUGGAAACUGGGGGACUUGAGUGCAGAAGAGAAGAGUGGAAUUCCACGUGUAGCGGUGAAAUGCGUAGAGAUGUGGAGGAACACCAGUGGCGAAGGCGACUCUUUGGUCUGUAACUGAGGCUGAGGCGCGAAAG